rnacentral:rRNA from 1 species
GGGGGGGGGGGGGGGGGGGGGGGGCGGGGGCGGGGGGGGGGGGGGGGCGCGGCUGGUGGGGGGUGGUCGGGUGGCGCACGGGGGCGUAGCACUGGAGUAACCGGCCCUUGGCUUGGGGAUGACGUCCGGACACUUGGGCUCAUCCCGGAUAGGAUCUCCUGCUGCAUGUUGGGCGUUUGAACGUUUCGGCGGGUGUGGAUGGACUCGCGGCUUAUCAGCUUUUUGGUGGGGGAGUUGCUUACCAAGGCUGUGACGGGUAGCCGGCCUGAGAGGGUGACCGGCGACAUUGGGACUGAGGGACGGCCCAGACGCCUACGGGAGGAAGCAGUGGAGAAUAUUGCACAAUGGGCGGAAGCCUGAUGCAGAAACGCCGCGGGCGGGAUGACGGCCUUCGGGUUGUAAACCGCUUGCGCCGGUGACGAAGAGUGAGUGACGGUAAUGGGUAAAGAAGCACCGGCUAACUACGUG